rnacentral:misc_RNA from 1 species
CCAGAUUUUCUUGUUGCAGUACUGCUCAACAUCUGAUUUACAUGGGUUGCAAUUCCUGCAACAUCCAACAAUAACUCCAACUCCAACUACAUCUCCUACUCUGAAGUUAGUGACCUCUGAUCCCACCUCCACUACCUCACCAACCACUUCAUGCCCAGGAACCAUGGGGUAUCUUGACAUGCCAAGUUCAUUCUUCACUUGAUGAAUAUCAGUGUG